rnacentral:lncRNA from 1 species
CGCCCUGCAGACCUGCCACCGCUGCCUCGGGGUUCCCCUGGGAAAGGCACCCAGGGAGGGCCGGGCAGGGAAGCAGGAGCCCACUUGGCUCCUGCCAGAGAGUGAACAGAAGCAAAACGUGCCUUUGGUUAAUUUUUCUUCUAAUAGAAGUAAUUCAGAGUCAAAUGAAAUACCAUUUAAAUUUUCCAUGAAAAUAAUCACCCUGCUAUUUCACAUGAUUUUCCCAGGCUUUGUUGUAUGACUUGGAAACCAGGCUUGUUAUGAAGGAGGCAGAGUUGGGGUGUACAGCGAACAGGCAUUUCUCCCAAGCUCACGGGCACAUUUUUUCAAACUGUGUUUUUUAAUUGGCCUCUUCAUGUAUAAAUGAACAGUGUAACGGACAAGCAGGGCACCUUAAUCCCAACGCCACAGUCGGCCAGUUUGCGGGUUCAGGCCUCCUUUAUGAUACAUGCCACAAACACAAUAUCUUUGUAUUAAAAGGAUUUUUUUUUUUUGCUGAAA